rnacentral:rRNA from 1 species
GAUGAACGCUGGCGGCGUGCCUAAUACAUGCAAGUCGAGCGAACAGAUGAGGAGCUUGCUCCUCUGACGUUAGCGGCGGACGGGUGAGUAACACGUGGAUAACCUACCUAUAAGACUGGGAUAACUUCGGGAAACCGGAGCUAAUACCGGAUAAUAUAUUGAACCGCAUGGUUCAAUAGUGAAAGACGGUUUUGCUGUCACUUAUAGAUGGAUCCGCGCCGCAUUAGCUAGUUGGUAAGGUAACGGCUUACCAAGGCAACGAUGCGUAGCCGACCUGAGAGGGUGAUCGGCCACACUAGAACUGAGACACGGUCCAGACUCCUACGGGAGGCAGCAGUAGGGAAUCUUCCGCAAUGGGCGAAUGCCUGACGGAGCAACGCCGCGUGAGUGAUGAAGGUCUUCGGAUCGUAAAACUCUGUUAUUAGGGAAGAACAAAUGUGUAAGUAACUAUGCACGUCUUGACGGUACCUAAUCAGAAAGCCACGGCUAACUACGUG